UACGGGGGGGGCAAGCGUUGUUCGGAAUUACUGGGCGUAAAGGGCUCGUAGGUGGCCAACUAAGUCAUACGUGAAAUCCCUCGGCUUAACCGGGGAACUGCGUCUGAUACUGGCAGGCUUGAAUUCGGGAGAGGGAUGCGGAAUUCCAGGUGUAGCGGUGAAAUGCGUAGAUAUCUGGAGGAACACCGGUGGCGAAGGCGGCAUCCUGGACCGAAAUUGACGCUGAGGCGCGAAAGCCAGGGGAGCAAACGGG
rnacentral:rRNA from 1 species